GCCGCCCGCCCUCAAGAAGCUGGCGGACAGGUACCCGGGACUGAAGGUGAGUGUGGGGAGGGAAGGAGCGGGGGUGGGGAGGGGAGGAGGGGGGUUGCUUCGUAUAUCUGAACUAUGAAGGGCCGUAGCGGGUUGCUGUGUCCUGUGUGAUACGGGGGGCCGGAAGGGAGAGCGGUUUCUUUUACCCCGGGGAGCCGCAUGUGCACCCACACACAUAACGAUGCAGCACCCACACACAUAACGAUGCAGCAGCAGUGUCAAGAGGGGGGAUUAGUUCUGUUAUCUAUUUUUGGAAGUUUGUUGUGUGUGCAUGGAGGGGAAAUGUGUUUUGUUGUGGGGGGGAGAAAGAGGGGGUUCAAAAUGGAUCUUGGGGGUGAAGAGUGAAUUGCUGAGAAGCACGACAUCACCCACAACUGCCAUUUAGAAACCGCCACUCAGCACCGACAACCACUAUGACCGGUAACCGUCAUGUAACGACCUCCAACCGCCACGACAUCCUAACUACUGCAGGUCUACACGGCAAUGAUUGACGAGCAAGUGGACGAGCGGGGCUACAUAGUGCCGGGUUUGGGGGAUGCCGGUGACCGAGCGUACGGCACUCCGCACCACUAAAUGGGUGGGACGACGGAAUGCGUGGGUUCUUUUUAUUUGUAAUCCACGAGCACGUUUACGGCACUAUACGACAUUUCUUUAUCUUUGUAUAUUGUCGUACAGGUAUCUCGGACUGGAGUCGAUGGUUAGAUGAGUACACAAUCACCAUUGCUUCCUCGCUGACAGAGAGACAGACAGACAGACCGGCGGACCGACAAUGGGCGUGAAGCUGUACGGAUAGAGGUGGUUGCCGGUUUCGUUCUUCCUGCUUGAAUGGUGCUUUUGGUGGUGAUGAUGACCGGGCGCUUGAUAGUGGGCUUGAUUGAGUGGGUGUUGCAACAUCGGGUUGCUGUGUGUGUGGGGGGGGGAGGGAGAGAGGUAUGAAUUGAAGUGAAGCCAAGUGAAGUGGGAAGGCGGUACGGCGGUGUGCAGCAGCAUGCAGCCCCCUUCGGUGCGGCUAGAUAGGGGUGCGGGCCAUGGGGUUGAGGUGGGUUGGGGUUGGGGUAAUGGGGCGGUUUCCAUUCCUUGACACCUCCCAGGGGAACGAGAUCCCUACCUCCCCCUUCCCCCUUCCCCCCUUUCCUACUGGUCAGUUCUACUUCUGGUUCACUCUUGCCCUGGCAGCAGCUUCACUCGUUCGGGGUUCGUCUUUCCCCCUUCCCUUCCUCCGGGCUCUAUCACUGGGCUCUAUCCAGGACCCCUCCUGCCGGUGGGGGGGAGGGAGGAGGAUCUCAAAACAGUGCGAGUACUUCACGGGUACCUUGGUGGUGUACGGAACACGUCAUGUCUGGAGGGAUUUGAACGAGGGGGGAAAUGAUGAGGGGCGGGGGGGAGAAGGGGGGGUAUCGCGGGAAGCCAGAUCCUGCAAGCCUCUCUUUAGCCUACCUGUACAUGUGUGACACGGAUGUUUAGGACUAGCGAACCACCACCCGGUGCGAGUGGAGUUUGUACCUGGGUGGCAGCUAACCCCCGUGGUGCGGGGGACGGAGGUGGGUUGGGGGUGUGAGGGGUGUUUCGGGCCAUUUCUCGGAGGUAUUGCGACAAUAGCCAUUUUUGCUUUGUAGUUGAGGUGAUGGCGAUGUUCCUGGAGCACCUAAGGGUCUUCCUGAGCUGGACUUAUUGGUUGCCUGUUCUUCCAUUGUGCACGUGCCUCUUUGAAAGCUUUGGCCUCCAGCGAUGAAAAAACGGAAGUUGCGUGUCCGUUUGUAUGUCCGUAGCGUGUCUUGGGCAGAGGCUGCUCCCGCACCGUGACAACGAAGAAGCAUGGAGUUGAUGGCUUCUGUAACUGCAGAGGCCAUCAUCACCAUCAUCAUCAUCAUCAUUGCGGUCAUGAGAAGCCCCAUAAGGGUUAUUGCAGAAGGGGGAGAGGGGGUCGUGCCGCUUGGCAGAACACACGCAUAGGCCAUGGGGGGUCUUACCGGAUGAUGCUCUUGCACCCUUCAUUUCCCACACACAUUCUCCCUCCUGGCUCAGGACACGCGUCGAAGGGCCACCGCGUACUCUGCAUCAAAAGAGAAAAAUUCGCCCUGUGUCUUAACGGACCGCUUCCUUGAUCCUGGAAGCAGCAGUUCACCAGCCCCUGUGGCCUCAGUGCCUUUUGUUUCAGCAUCGCGGCCCAGGAAACCCAACUGACUCGAAAGCGGCAUCGGAAGGAGGGUGAGGCUCUGCUGCUGCGCGGGACAUCUUGACACCAGGAGAGCUUGCGCCGCAGCUGCAUCAGCAAACGGAGCGGCAACGGAGCGGCCCCGCAGCAGUCGUGCGGGUGCGACUCAGGAUGUGAUGUGGGCCUGCUGAUGGCUCGACGUGGCAGUCGUGCAGUGUGAUCUGAGUUAUGGGCGGUAGUGAGCUACCGGCUUGUCUAGAUGUCAUAGCUGCGUGUUGGACGUUUGAAACUGUGCCGGGUCGCGCGGAAUGAUGCACGUAGUUCCUAUUUUCCAUAUUGGGGCCAAAUAUCCCACAUAUGUACAGAGCAAGGAAGGAUACGCGGAGACGUGUACCCGAGCUAUAGGGCGACUGGGGUUGAGCUGAG
rnacentral:lncRNA from 1 species